rnacentral:lncRNA from 1 species
CAUCUGACACCUGGCAGUUCUUGGGAAAUACCUGCACACGAAUGGAGGCAAGGCCUCUCUCCAGAGGAGGACGCUGAAGAGGUGAAAAGUGAGCCUCCUGCUCUCCCUUUGAGGCAAUUUGGCAUAGCCUGGGUUCUCAGAUCAGACGGAAGUGGGUUCAGUUCUUGGCUCGGAGCGACCUUAGACCGCUGGUUGAAAUCCUUCUGGGCCUGUUCCUGCCUCUGGACAGUGGGAAUGUACUGAGACUACCUCUCAGGAUUGCACCCAUUUCCUGAGGGGACUUCUACGCCUGCCCUUCAUCGGGUUCCCUGAUUCUGAGCUGUUGACGGUGCGCGCAGAU